UCAAGGCAUAAAUCCACAAAGACAAAGAAAAUGAGAGAUGAGACAACAGCAAGAAAUUGGAGAAGAUGGAAUGCAAAUGGAAGAGGGGUAACUGAUUCAACAGAUGCAAAGAAGCUAAACCUUAAACCAACAGUGAGAAAGCAAAAUAUGAAAGUUAAAAAGCAGUUUUGUUUAUCCACACAACCUUCUGGACCCAGGAUUUGGUAGCACCAGUGACCUCUGGGAGUGGGGGUGACUGUGAGGUCAACUGAUACUACAUCAACCAGAGCCCCCACCCUUCCGAUGAGAACAUGGCCUAGAGAAAAAAUAAAAAUAUAAGGAAAAAAAGAAAAAAAACCCUAAAAACCAAAGCGCCUUCACCCUAAAUAACAUGAUCUAGAAGCUCAAAUGCUGAUGAGGAUAU
rnacentral:lncRNA from 1 species